rnacentral:misc_RNA from 1 species
GUAUUUUGCUUCUUAUGCCGACAUCCUCCGAAAACUUGGGAUGGUCAUGAAAAUGACGGAGCUACAAACGGGCCGACCCGACUUAUAAUCUCCCUACCGCUGCAGGCAGGGAGCAGCGUUGCGCCCUCACUCCCGCGGUGCACAGUGUGAAGAUGUGGAAAACGGCGCUUCCAAUUGGAAGACGCCUAGUUUCGCUAAUGAUCCCUCCGCAGGUUCACCUACGGAGA